GAACAAAUGGCGUAGCCCUUCAGAGAUGUUGGAGCCGAUUCUGAUCUCGCCAUCGCAGGAGUGCCACGAACUGGAACAGGGCCCGCUCUCAUCUCAUCUUGACAUUUAUAUUGCUAAGUCAUACAAGCCAAACUGAAAGUCUUUCAUCAUAAAAGGGCAGUCCAAAGGCCACUGAAGAAGUCCACGAAUCUUCCUUGUUGCCUGCAGUAAGCUUUGGAUCAGGCCCCAGUGAGCCAGCAAGAACGUGCCGUUCAGCGUGCUAUAACAAGUCCACCGGCAUGUGCUGAUAGCUGCAGGAGAGCUGUUAGAAGUACACCCCUAAAAAUGAGGAAGAUCUUGGCUGAGGAGGCAGCAGCUUCUGGCCCAGCCCUCACCCCCCACACAACGCGUGAAACACACCGGAGCCUCUUAAAUU
ensembl:lncRNA